GACGUGGGGGGCCAGCGUUGCUCGGAAUUACUGGGCGUAAAGGGUUCGUAGGCGGUGCGGUAAGUCGGAAGUGAAAUCUCUGGGCUUAACUCAGAGGCUGCUUUCGAAACUGCCGUGCUAGAGUGCGGGAGAGGCGAGUGGAAUUGCAGGUGUAGCGGUGAAAUGCGUAGAUAUCUGCAGGAACACCCGUGGCGAAGGCGGCUCGCUGGACCGCAACUGACGCUGAGGAACGAAAGCUAGGGGAGCAAACAGG
rnacentral:rRNA from 1 species